GGGGGAGGGAAUAUCUUUUGUUGGACUAACUGCCGUUGGUGAGAGAGACGAGCAUUUGAGCUUAGAGAGAGCUCUCCUUGUGACCUAAAGAAGAGCUCUGUGUAAGCUUGGAAGCUUGUCUCUCUCACCACCAGAAGAUGGUCCAAUAAAAGAUAUUACCUCACCCACCUUGCAUCUCUAAUAUCCUGGGACCAAAAUGGCGCAUUGUACCAAAUCACUACAGGAGACUUUGACAUCUUUCUCUUCUCAAAUGGCAGGAAGGAAAAGGAAUCUAGUUGCUUGCCUAUUUCUUCAGUAGGUGUUAAAUUAAUAUUAAAAUCUAGUGACUUUGUAUGCUGUCUAGUUGUAGCUCUGUGUGGCUCAAAAGCUUCUCUCACCACAAACCAUUGGUCCAAUAACAGAUAUUAUCCUCCCCACUUUGUUUAUCUAGAGAUUUUGUGGCAGAUGUUGUUUUGGGCAACCAUUCCAUACCUUUUUAAGGUCAGAAAGGACCAUUAAAUCGUCUAGUUUCUCCUGGAUAACACAAGCCAUAUCAUUUCAGUUUGUGCAGGGCGUGAACAGGUGAACCUGCACUCUGAUGUUCAUUAUUCCCCUUGGGAAAGCUGAUGGGGGUAAUUAGACAAUCAGGCUGGAUGGGAGCCAAUUAGCCCAUCAGCCCAAGGCUGAUAAAGAGGCAGGAAGGAAGUGCCAAGGAGAGGGAGGUGAGCCCAGUUACAUAGAGGCCUCAAGGCAGGGAGACCUCUGUUCCCCUCAAGUCCUGAGGAGAGGGCUAGAAAGCACAGUUGGUACUAUAGACUGCUGCACAGGGAUUGUUGUGCAAACUCUGAAGGCACCACCACUGGAGUCCAUGUAAUUUCUGGGGGAAGAAGGCAGGACUACAAGAGUGGAAUCCAUCUGGACAACACAUCUUGCAGAACCAUGGUUACUGUAAGGUGUAUCCCAAGAGUGUGACUCUGUUCUGACUAUCUACUGCCAGGU